rnacentral:rRNA from 1 species
CCUACGGGUGGCAGCAGUGGGGAAUAUUGGACAAUGGGCGAAAGCCUGAUCCAGCCAUGCCGCGUGUGUGAAGAAGGCCUUCGGGUUGUAAAGCACUUUCAGUGGGGAAGAAAGCCUUGGGGCUAAUACCCUCGAGGAAGGACAUCACCCACAGAAGAAGCACCGGCUAACUCCGUGCCAGCAGCCGCGGUAAUACGGAGGGUGCGAGCGUUAAUCGGAAUUACUGGGCGUAAAGCGCGCGUAGGCGGUCUGAUAAGCCGGUUGUGAAAGCCCCGGGCUCAACCUGGGAACGGCAUCCGGAACUGUCAGGCUAGAGUGCAGGAGAGGACGGUAGAAUUCCCGGUGUAGCGGUGAAAUGCGUAGAGAUCGGGAGGAAUACCAGUGGCGAAGGCGGCCUUCUGGACUGACACUGACGCUGAGGUGCGAAAGCGUGGGUAGCAAACAGGAUUAGAUACCCCGGUAGUC